UACGGAGGGUGCAAGCGUUAAUCGGAAUUACUGGGCGUAAAGCGCACGCAGGCGGUUUGUUAAGUCAGAUGUGAAAUCCCCGGGCUCAACCUGGGAGUUGCAUCUGAAACUGGCAGGCUAGAGUCUUGUAGAGGGGGGUAGAAUUCCAGGUGUAGCGGUGAAAUGCGUAGAGAUCUGGAGGAAUACCGGUGGCGAAGGCGGCCCACUGGACAAAGACUGACGCUCAGGUGCGAAAGCGUGGGGAGCAAAAAGG
rnacentral:rRNA from 1 species